rnacentral:rRNA from 1 species
GACAUAAAUGGCUUAAUCAUGGCCACGAACGAAUGCUAUCUAGUUGUUUGACACAUGCAAGUUAAUGUAAAACUGCUUUAUUUCUAGAGCAGACACAUAGCGUAUUGGAGAGUAUAAAUUAGAAUGCUAACUCUAGAUAACCUUAUAAGUUAUAAUUAUCAUUUGAUACAAAGGAUCUUAUCUGUCUAGAGAUGCUUUUAAUCCACAGCAGUUAGUUGGUGAGGUAAUGGCUUACCAAGACAAUGACUUGUAGGUAAGGCUGAAAGUCUCAAUAUCCUCAGUGGAGAAUGAAAAGUCCCACAACAUCAUUUGAUGUGCAGCAGUGAAGAAUCAUCGUCAAUGAUCGAAAGAUUGAACGUGCAAACUAGAAUUCUAUUAAGCAUAAGUUUAUAGAAUGUAAUUUAACAGAAUAGUGAUUAGUUAUUUUACUAGUGGAAACCAAUUUCGGUGCCAGAAGUUUCGGUUAGACCGAUUCCGCAAGCAUUGUUCGUUAUGAAUUGGCGUAAAGGGUACGUAGAUUGUUGACUUGCAUACUGAUUCCUUGUUUUUACUCCUUUAUUUUAUUCGCCCAGCCGAGCUGGGCGCUUAUUUUCUAACUAAAAAUAAAAAAUAAAAUAAAGGCCAAAACCAGAGAGACAGAUGAAGGUUAACUAGAAUCCGAUAGAAGUAAUCAGAAUUUCAAAAGUAGCGCUGAUAUGCUUUGAUAUUUGAAGGACUACCAAUGGCGAAGGCAGAUUACUAAUUAGAGAUUGACAUUGAGGUACGAAAGCGUAGGUAGCAAACAGAAUUAGAUACUCUGGUAGUCUACGCUGUAAACGAUGAGUGUUAGUACUCCUUCUUUUUUUCUGGGGAUACUUAGCAAACGUAAUAAACACUCCGCCUGGAAAGUACAGUCACACGACAGAACACCAAAUGAUUAGACGGUCUCGAAAACCCGUAGUGAAGCAUGACGCUUAAUGCGAUAACCCGCGCAUAACCUUACCUACAUUUGAAUCUCAUGAUCUUCCAGGAUUUCUUGGAAAAUUAAGAAGACAGGUGCUGCAUGACCCUCUUCAGCAUGUGCCUUAUGGUGCUUGGUUUGAUCCGCUAACAUGCGCAAUUCUUACCUUCUCUAAGUAAACAAAGAAGGACUACAGUUGAUAUAACUGUAAAUUAGAGCUAAGAGAGGUCCCUAUGACCCUCAUGUGUAGGGCUGCCGUUGUGCUGCGAAGAGUUUAACAAUAUGAUGCAACAUUGUGAAAUAGAGCUAAUCAUCAAAUAAACUCACACGGAUUGUAGUCUGCAAUCGACUACAUGAAAUAGGAAUUACGAGUAAUCGUGUAGUAGUGCGACACGGUGAAAAUAAAAUUCGAGAUGUACUAAUUACUCGUCAAAUCUGGAAAUAGAUUAAAUUGUGAAACUGGAUGAUGUACAUGACGAUAUUCAUUCUCUCUUUUGUCGCUGGGCGACAAAAGCUAGUUGAGAGCAGGAAGAUACUCGUUAUCUUCUAGUAUUUAUUAUCACAGUGUAAUACUUUUGUUAGCAGUUUACCUUAAUCGAGAUUAAGUCGAAAUAUAGGAGUGGCAGGGGAACCUGCUGCUGAACAAUACAAAUU